GACGGAGGGUCCAAGCGUUGUCCGGAAUCAUUGGGUGUAAAGGGUGUGUAGGCGGGAGGGCAAGUCUAGGGUGAAAUCCCGCGGCUUAACCGCGGAACUGCCCCGGAUACUGCUUUUCUUGAGUCCCGGAGAGGCCACUAGAAUUCGUGGUGUAGCGGUGAAAUGCGUAGAUAUCACGAGGAAUACCGGUUGCGUAGGCGGGUGGCUGGACGGCGACUGACGCUGAGGCACGAAAGCGUGGGGAGCAAACAGG
rnacentral:misc_RNA from 1 species